rnacentral:rRNA from 1 species
UACGUAGGGGGCAAGCGUUGUCCGGAAUCAUUGGGCGUAAAGAGCGUGUAGGCGGUCCGGUAAGUCGGCUGUGAAAGUCCAGGGCUCAACCCUGGGAUGCCGGUCGAUACUGCCGGACUAGAGUUCGGAAGAGGCGAGUGGAAUUCCCGGUGUAGCGGUGAAAUGCGCAGAUAUCGGAGGAACGAACCUACGUGGCGAAGGC